rnacentral:tRNA from 18 species
GCGGUCGUGGCGGAAUUGGUAGACGCGCAGCGUUGAGGUCGCUGUAUCGCAAGAUGUGGAAGUUCGAGUCUUCUCGACCGCACCA